AUUGAACGCUGGCGGCGGGCCUAACACAUGCAAGUCGAGCGGCAGCGGAAAGUAGCUUGCUACUUUGCCGGCGAGCGGCGGACGGGUGAGUAAUGUCUGGGAAACUGCCUGAUGGAGGGGGAUAACUACUGGAAACGGUAGCUAAUACCGCAUGGCCUCGAAAGAGCAAAGUGGGGGAUCUUCGGACCUCACGCCAUCGGAUGUGCCCAGAUGGGAUUAGCUAGUAGGUGAGGUAAUGGCUCACCUAGGCGACGAUCCCUAGCUGGUCUGAGAGGAUGACCAGCCACACUGGAACUGAGACACGGUCCAGACUCCUACGGGAGGCAGCAGUGGGGAAUAUUGCACAAUGGGCGCAAGCCUGAUGCAGCCAUGCCGCGUGUGUGAAGAAGGCCUUAGGGUUGUAAAGCACUUUCAGCGAGGAGGAAGGCAUCAUACUUAAUACGUGUGGUGAUUGACGUUACUCGCAGAAGAAGCACCGGCUAACUCCGUGCCAGCAGCCGCGGUAAUACGGAGGGUGCAAGCGUUAAUCGGAAUUACUGGGCGUAAAGCGCACGCAGGCGGUUUGUUAAGUCAGAUGUGAAAUCCCCGCGCUUAACGUGGGAACUGCAUUUGAAACUGGCAAGCUAGAGUCUUGUAGAGGGGGGUAGAAUUCCAGGUGUAGCGGUGAAAUGCGUAGAGAUCUGGAGGAAUACCGGUGGCGAAGGCGGCCCCCUGGACAAAGACUGACGCUCAGGUGCGAAAGCGUGGGGAGCAAACAGG
rnacentral:rRNA from 1 species